UGCAGUCGANGGCAGCACGGGAGCAAUCCUGGUGGCGAGUGGCGAACGGGUGAGUAAUAUAUCGGAACGUGCCCAGUCGUGGGGGAUAACGUAGCGAAAGCUACGCUAAUACCGCAUACGAUCUACGGAUGAAAGCGGGGGACUCGUAAGGGCCUCGCGCGAUUGGAGCGGCCGAUAUCAGAUUAGGUUGUUGGUGAGGUAAAAGCUCACCAAGCCUGCGAUCUGUAGCUGGUCUGAGAGGACGACCAGCCACACUGGAACUGAGACACGGUCCAGACUCCUACGGGAGGCAGCAGUGGGGAAUUUUGGACAAUGGACGCAAGUCUGAUCCAGCAAUGCCGCGUGCAGGACGAAGGCCUUCGGGUUGUAAACUGCUUUUGUACGGAACGAAACGGUCUGCUUUGAUACAGUGGGCUAAUGACGGUACCGUAAGAAUAAGCACCGGCUAACUACGUGCCAGCAGCCGCGGUAAUACGUAGGGUGCGAGCGUUAAUCGGAAUUACUGGGCGUAAAGCGUGCGCAGGCGGUUAUAUAAGACAGAUGUGAAAUCCCCGGGCUCAACCUGGGACCUGCAUUUGUGACUGUAUAGCUAGAGUACGGUAGAGGGGGAUGGAAUUCCGCGUGUAGCAGUGAAAUGCGUAGAUAUGCGGAGGAACACCGAUGGCGAANGCAAUCCCCUGGACCUGUACUGACGCUCAUGCACGAAAGCGUGGGGAGCAAACAGGAUUAGAUACCCUGGUAGUCCACGCCCUAAACGAUGUCAACUGGUUGUUGGGUCUUCACUGACUCAGUAACGAAGCUAACGCGUGAAGUUGACCGCCUGGGGAGUACGGCCGCANGGUUGAAACUCAAAGNAAUUGACGGGGACCCGCACAAGCGGUGGAUGAUGUGGUUUAAUUCGAUGCNNCGCGAAAAANCUUACCCNCCUUUG
rnacentral:rRNA from 1 species